rnacentral:ncRNA from 1 species
ACGCGGGGUGCCACCGCUUGGUGGCUGAGAACAGACCCGUUGAACCUGAUCUAGUUCGAACUAGCGAAGGGACGUUC